UACAGAGGGGGCAAGCGUUGUUCGGAAUUACUGGGCGUAAAGGGCGCGUAGGCGGCCCGCUAAGUCGAACGUGAAAUCCCUGGGCUCAACCCAGGAACUGCGUCCGAUACUGGCGGGCUUGAAUCCGGGAGAGGGAUGCGGAAUUCCAGGUGUAGCGGUGAAAUGCGUAGAUAUCUGGAGGAACACCGGUGGCGAAGGCGGCAUCCUGGACCGGCAUUGACGCUGAGGCGCGAAAGCUAGGGGAGCAAACGGG
rnacentral:rRNA from 1 species